GGGCGAUUAACUCAGAGGUAGAGUGCCUUCUUCACACGGAGGAUGUCGCUGGUUCAAGUCCUGCAUCGCCCACCA
rnacentral:tRNA from 1 species